rnacentral:rRNA from 1 species
AUUGAACGCUGGCGGCAGGCCUAACACAUGCAAGUCGAGCGGAGCGGCGGACGGGUGGGUAAUGCCUGGAAAUCUGCCUGGUAGUGGGGGAUAACGUCCGGAAACGGGCGCUAAUAACGCCUACUAUCAGAUGGACCUAGGUUGGAUUAGCUAGUUGGUGGGUUAAAGGCCUACCAAGGCGACGAUCCGUAACUGGUCUGAGAGGAUGAUCAGUCACACUGGAACUGAGACACGGUCCAGACUCCUACGGGAGGCAGCAGUGGGGAAUAUUGGACAAUGGGCGAAAGCCUGAUCCAGCCAUGCCGCGUGUGUGAAGAAGGCCGUCGGAUUGUAAAGUACUUUAAGUCGGGAGGCGUUACCAACAGAAUAAGCACCGGCUAACUUCGUGCCAGCAGCCGCGGUAAUAC